AUCUUCUUCAUUAGGAUGAAAUCAGCAAGGGGGGAAGCCAUAGUUAGGGUUUUCAAGCUUCCAAGCUCCAUAAUCAAGAAGAAGGAAAUUCGAGGUUAGACAAAGGAAAGAAUAAAGUUGAGGACUAAGUUGGUGAAUUGGGCUAUAUUUGGUACCGAGUAUUGCAAGGCUACUUCAAGGAUCCUAAAAAAGUCGGAGAUCGUCCACACUAUCAAGAACAACUACUCGGUAUUUUAUGAUGAAACAUGUUUGAGUUAUGGCAUGUAUAGGGAUUUAGUUAUUUUGUAUGUUUGUAAUUAUGAUUUUGCUAUAGAAUGAUGUGUAAGUAUUUGAUGAUGAAUGGUUGUUUAAAUGGUCAAGUAUGAAGAUGUUUGUUGUUAUAAAAGUCUAGGUGAUAAAUUAUGUAUGAAAAUCAUGAAAGGGUAAAAUUUUGCUAAGAAACAGAAUUCAGGCAGCAGCAGUGACGUGACUUUGAAAAAUC